CGACAGAUCACUGCCCGAGUGUCAACCUCACUGUGCCGCACACCAUAACCAUACUGAAUUCAACCAAUCAUAAUCAGGAGGUAUUUGCUGGGUCAGGUCUCGACUACUUUUACAGCCUCUCCUACACUCUUUACCAGUGUUUCGGAUUUCUCAUCGUGCAGGUGCUGGGGGUUACUCUCAGUCUAGCCUCAGGUCGGAACAAGGCGAACAACAACCCUCUCUACGUAAGACAAUACUUCUGGAGACACAGACCUGAUGACGAACAUAUGAUG